CUUUCAGUAGGGAAGAAGCCCCUUUUUGGGGUGACGGUACUUGCAGAAGAAGCGCCGGCUAACUACGUGCCAGCAGCCGCGGUAAUACGUAGGGCGCAAGCGUUAUCCGGAAUUAUUGGGCGUAAAGAGCUCGUAGGCGGUUUGUCGCGUCUGCCGUGAAAGUCCGAGGCUCAACCUCGGAUCUGCGGUGGGUACGGGCAGACUAGAGUGAUGUAGGGGAGACUGGAAUUCCUGGUGUAGCGGUGAAAUGCGCAGAUAUCAGGAGGAACACCGAUGGCGAAGGCAGGCCUCUGGGCAUUUACUGACGCUGAGGAGCGAAAGCAUGGGGAGCGAACAGGAUUAGAUACCCUGGUAGUCCAUGCCGUAAACGUUGGGCACUAGGUGUGGGGGACAUUCCACGUUUUCCGCGCCGUAGCUAACGCAUUAAGUGCCCCGCCUGGGGAGUACGGCCGCAAGGCUAAAACUCAAAGGAAUUGACGGGGGCCCGCACAAGCGGCGGAGCAUGCGGAUUAAUUCGAUGCAACGCGAAGAACCUUACCAAGGCUUGACAUGUUCCAGACCGGGCCAGAGAUGGUCUUUCCCCUUUUGGGGCUGGUUCACAGGUGGUGCAUGGUUGUCGU
rnacentral:rRNA from 1 species